rfam:Drosophila busckii chromosome X sequence.
AUUCGAUAUCGCAAACAGACCCGUUGGCGUUUGGGGCAAAAUUGUGGGAUCAUUGUGUGCCAUUGCUGGUGUACUGACAAUCGCACUUCCCGUACCGGUUAUCGUCAGUAAU